GUGCAGAGCCCAGGCGCGUGGGUCGGUGUCGGGUGUGUGUGUACGUCUGUGUGUGUAAUGAAACUGGACGCCUUCCUUCCCGGCGAUCUUGACUUAACCUGUCAGCAGAGGGCUUGAGGUUAGACCACAGGUUGAACCUAGGUGGCUGCUGGAGAGAAACACUCUGUCUUCCUGCUUUGAGGACAGCUGAAGUCUUGCCACUUCUUCUGGAUGCUCUGACCAUCAGUAAGCCACCUCAGUCUCACCCUCCGCAGAAUGCAGGCCCACUCCGUUGCUGAAGGGCCUCCUCCUUGGGCCAGGGCGCCUGCUUCUGCCAGUGGCAUCAUCACCCCACUCCUCAGCCGCCAGUCAUCAGAGACACGGUCUGACUUUGUUACCCCGGCUGGAGUGCAGUGGUGCAAUCAUGGCUCACUGCAGCCUUAACCUCCUGGGCUCAAGUGAUCCUCUCGCCAAGGCUAGGAUAAGUAGCUAGGACUACAGAUGCGCCCCAUCACGCCCAGCUAAUUUUACAACUUCUGUAGAGAUGGAGUGUUGCUGGGUUGCCCAGGCUGGUCUUGAAUUCCUGGGCUCAAGCGAUCCUCCUGUGUCCGGAAUUGGUGGGUUCUUGGUCUCACUGACUUCAAGAAUGAAGCCGCGGACCCUCGCGAGUCUGUAUCCACCAGCUACUCUUCCAGAUUCAUGAGGCAAGGCCUGCCUGCUCACCUGGCUGGCCCCAAGCACCUCUUCAACCUGUUGCCACCGUCCUGCCUUGCUGCCCUUCUCAGCUCAUCCAGCAGGGUCUCCAAGUCGUGGAAACAGAAGCACAUAUACACACAUGCUCAUAUGUACAUGCCCACAGUCACAUAAGCACACCGAGAAACACCAUCGCAGACAUGUUCUCACAAGCACAUGUGCAUAACACUCACUACCCCUCACGCGUAUACACAUUAAUACACACACUCAUGCACACUCAGUCUUACACACACAGACACACAGCCAUAAUCACUGUUGUUGGUUGAAUUGUGCCCCCCCAUCCCCACCAAAAAGAUAAGUUGGAGUCCUAACCCCCAGUACCUGGGGAUGUGACCGUAGUUGGAAAUAGGGUGUUUGUAGAUGUAAUCAAAUUAAGAUGAGAUCUUACUGGAUUAGAGUGGGCCUUAAAUCCAGUGACUGGUGUCCUUAUAAGGAGAAAAAGAUUUGAAAACAGAGACAUGGAGACACAGAGCAGAAGGCCAUGUGAUGAUGGAGUCAGAGAUUGGAGUGAUGCAGCUAUGAGCCGAGAAAUACCAAGGUGCUGGCAGCCCCCAGAAGCAAGGAGAGAGGCAAGGAACAAUCUCCAUCAGAGCCUCUGGAAGAAACAGACUCUGCCAACACCUUGAUUUCAGACUUUUGGCCUCCUUCACUGUGCGAGAAUACGUUUCUGUUGUUUUAAACUACUGAGUCACCAAGUCUGUGGUACUGUGUUAUGGCAGCCCCGGCAACAAAUCCAAUCACACACACACACACACACACACACACACACACACACACACACACACACACAGCUGGCUCCAGGCUCAGUGAUGAGCUCAGAGGAGUUCCCCUUGGGAGCUGCUCUUUCUCUGUCUUCCUUCCUUAGUGAUUGGUCCAGUGGAUCCACAAAAGCUCAUGGCCCAGAGCAGGAGCCCAGUCAUUUUUAAUUCCUCUUCCCUGGAGUUCUUAACCAUGCGUUGCCCUCAAAAUCUGCUCUCAAGAUUUGGGUUGCCAUAUUUAGGAGCACCAGAAAACAUACAGGAAUGCUGUGUCUGCUUGCAUCAUAUUAAUUAAAAACUGGAAAUAACCUAAAUGUCCCAGAAUAGGUACAUAAACUGUGGCAUAUCCACUUAAUGGAAUACUACUCAGCAAUACAAAAGGAAAACCUAGUGUUACUUGAGCAACAUGGAUGAACUUCACAGACAUAAUAUUGCACAGCACGAGGCAGACACAAAAGUGUGCAUAUGCUAUGAUUCCAUUUACAUGAGAUUCAAGAACAGGCAAAGCAGAUCUAUGGGGAUAGAAGUCAGAAUAGUGGUUACCUCUGGAAGGUGGAAUUGACUGGGAGGGGCUUCAGGGAACCUCCUGGGGUGCUGAAAACAUUCUGUGCUUGCACCGGGUGGUGGUUAUGUGGGCAUUACAUAAAAUUCACCAAGCUGCACCCUUAAUGAUUUGUACAAUUUGAUGCACAAAUCUAACAUCUCAAGAAGAAUAAAUUUUACAAAGUACCUAAGAAGCAAA
rnacentral:lncRNA from 1 species